rnacentral:rRNA from 1 species
UGGGGAAUUUUGGACAAUGGGCGAAAGCCUGAUCCAGCAAUGCCGCGUGUGUGAAGAAGGCCUUCGGGUUGUAAAGCACUUUUGUCCGGAAAGAAAUCCUUGGCUCUAAUACAGUCGGGGGAUGACGGUACCGGAAGAAUAAGCACCGGCUAACUACGUGCCAGCAGCCGCGGUAAUACGUAGGGUGCAAGCGUUAAUCGGAAUUACUGGGCGUAAAGCGUGCGCAGGCGGUUUGCUAAGACCGAUGUGAAAUCCCCGGGCUCAACCUGGGAACUGCAUUGGUGACUGGCAGGCUAGAGUAUGGCAGAGGGGGGUAGAAUUCCACGUGUAGCAGUGAAAUGCGUAGAGAUGUGGAGGAAUACCGAUGGCGAAGGCAGCCCCCUGGGCCAAUACUGACGCUCAUGCACGAAAAGCGUGGGGAGCAAAACAGGAUUAGAUACCCUGGUAGUCCACGCCCUAAAACGAUGUCAACUAGUUGUUGGGGAUUCAUUUCCUUAGUAACGUAGCUAACGCGUGAAGUUGACCGCCUGGGGAGUACGGUCGCAAGAUUAAAACUCAAAGGAAUUGACGGGGUCAUAGCUGUUUCC